GAUGAACGCUAGCGGCAGGCCUAAUACAUGCAAGCCGAACGGCAAGUUGAGUAGCAAUACUUGACCUAGAGUGGCGUAAGGGUGCGUAACACGUAUGCAAUCUGCCCUCAACAGGAGGAUAGCUCCCCGAAAGGGGAAUUAACCCUCCAUGGGAUCUUAGAGUGGCAUCACUUAGAGAUUAAACCGCAAGGGGUUGAGGAUGAGCAUGCGCAUGANAGUUAGUUGGCGGGGGUAACGGCCCACCAAGACGAUGAUCAUUAGGGGAACUGAGAGGUUGAUCCCCCACACUGGC
rnacentral:rRNA from 1 species